UACGGAGGGGGCUAGCGUUGUUCGGAAUUACUGGGCGUAAAGCGCGCGUAGGCGGCUUCGCAAGUCAGAGGUGAAAGCCCGGGGCUCAACCCCGGAACUGCCUUUGAGACUGCGUCGCUAGAAUCCGGGAGAGGUGAGUGGAAUUCCGAGUGUAGAGGUGAAAUUCGUAGAUAUUCGGAAGAACACCAGUGGCGAAGGCGACUCACUGGACAUGUAUUGACGCUGAGGUACGAAAGCGUGGGGAGCAAACAGG
rnacentral:rRNA from 1 species